rnacentral:rRNA from 1 species
AUUGAACGCUAGCGGGAUGCCUUACACAUGCAAGUCGAACGGCAGCAUAAGAGAGCUUGCUCUCUUGAUGGCGAGUGGCGAACGGGUGAGUAAUGUAUCGGAACGUGCCCAGUAGCGGGGGAUAACUACGCGAAAGCGUAGCUAAUACCGCAUACGCCCUACGGGGAAAGGAGGGGAUACCGCAAGGACCUUUCACUAUUGGAGCGGCCGAUAUCGGAUUAGCUAGUUGGUGAGGUAAGGCUCACCAAGGCGACGAUCCGUAGCUGGUUUGAGAGGACGACCAGCCACACUGGGACUGAGACACGGCCCAG